AUUCCUCUCCUCCUUUCACUACUUCCUACGUACAAACCCAGCCAUAAUUCUCUCCUCUUCUCUCCCGUCUCUCCUCCUUCUUCAUCAGAGUCCUCUGUUUCUUUAGCUGUGAGCUUUUACGUGAUUCAGGCAGACCCAAGACAAAGUGGAAAAUGACUAACCAGAAUGUGGUGGUUUCCGACCCCAAGCCGCUGCCCGGAGCCGGAGCGGGGCCCGAACAUCCUCCGAAUCUGACGAUGCUAACAAGUCUUGGAUCGUGAGUCUCUCGGUAUGAAUUCUCCGGUAUAUAAAGUAUUACUGGAGAAAACUAAAUCUGGGAGCAAAACAAGAUCAGAGGAACUUGUGAUUUUCAGCUGCAGAGGCAAAGCAAAAUUAUUUCUUUAUUUUAUUGGGAUUUUGUAAAGAGAUGAAUCCCAUAGUAUACAUUAUUUUAUCCUAGUAUAUAUGUCUUUGCAUAGCAUAGAUUGGAUUAUGUUAGUAGUAUAGGGAAACA